UCCAAACCAGUGUUAUCUAUGGCUGGUUGUCUGAGAGAAACGAUCCAAACCAGUGUUAUCUACGGCUUGUUGUCUGGGAGACGAUCCAAACCAGUGUUAUCUAUGGCUUGUUGUCUGGGAGACGAUCCAAACCAGUGUUAUCUAUGGCUUGUUGACUAGGAGAAACUAUCAAAACCAGUGUUAUCUAUGGCUUGUUGUCUGGGAGACGAUCCAAACCAGUGUUAUCUAUGGCUUGUUGUCUGGGAGAAACGAUCCAAACCAGUGUUAUCUAUGGCUUGUUGUCUGGGAGACGAUCCAAACCAGUGUUAUCUAUGGCUUGUUGUCUGGGAGAUGAUCCAAACCAGUGUUAUCUAUGGCUUGUUGUCUGGGAGAAACGAUCCAAACCAGUGUUAUCUAUGGCUUGUUGUCUGGGAGACGAUCCAAACCAGUGUUAUCUAUGGCUUGUUGUCUGGGAGACGAUCCAAACCAGUGUUAUCUAUGGCUUGUUGUCUGGGAGACGAUCCAAACCAGUGUUAUCUAUGGCUUGUUGACUAGGAGAAACUAUCAAAACCAGUGUUAUCUAUGGCUUGUUGUCUGGGAGACGAUCCAAACCAGUGUUAUCUAUGGCUUGUUGUCUGGGAGACGAUCCAAACCAGUGCUAUCUAUGGCUUGUUGUCUGAGAGAAACGAUCCAAACCAGUGUUAUCUAUGGCUUGUUGUCUGGGAGACGAUCCAAACCAGUGUUAUCUAUGGCUUGUUGUCUGGGAGACGAUCCAAACCAGUGUUAUCUACGGCUUGUUGUCUGAGAGAAACGAUCCAAACCAGUGUUAUCUAUGGCUUGUUGUCUGGGAGACGAUCCAAACCAGUGUUAUCUAUGGCUUGUUGUCUGGGAGAAACGAUCCAAACCUGUGGUAUCUAUGGCUUGUUGACUGGGAGAAACGAUCCAAACCAGUGUUAUCUAUGGCUUGUUUAUUGUCUAUCGUAUGCUGAGAGAAUUAUGUUUUAAUAUUUUUACAUAAUGUGUUUCAUUUAUUUAACUUUAUAGUUGUAGGUAAUCUAAACAUGUCUUGUGAUUGUUGUUGUUUCAACCCCAAUGUGAUUUUGUUCAUUCUCUCUCCAGCCUCCCAGUUUAUAUUUGAUCAAACAACGUGUCUGUAGACUACUAGAAUGUGACGUGUCCACAGACCGUCUUCAGACCGACAGUAAAUCAACCUUAAGUUUGGAUCACGUACUACUGUAUAGCAGCAGAUUGAUGGAAAUGAGUUGUUUCCUGUUGUAGCUCACUGAAAUAAGUUGUUUCCUGUUGUAGCUCACUGAAAUGAGUUGUAUCCUGUUGUAGCUCACUGAAAUGAGCUCUAUAAGGUUGUAGCUCACUGAAAUGAGUUGUUUCCUGUUGUAGCUCACUGAAAUGAGUUGUUUCCUGUUGUAGCUCACUGAAAUGAGUUGUUUCCUGUUGUAGCUCACUGAAAUGAGUUGUUUCCUGUUGUAGCUCACUGAAAUGAGUUGUUUCCUGUUGUAGCUCACUGAAAUGAGCUCUAUAAGGUUGUAGCUCACUGAAAUGAGUUGUUUCCUGUUGUAGCUCACUGAAAUGAGUUGUUUCCUGUUGUAGCUCACUGAAAUGAGUUGUUUCCUGUUGUAGCUCACUGAAAUGAGUUGUUUCAUGUUGUAGCUCACUGAAAUGAGUUGUUUCCUGUUGUAGCUCACUGAAAUGAGUUGUUUCCUGUUGUAGCUCACUGAAAUGAGUUGUUUCCUGUUGUAGCUCACUGAAAUGAGCUGUAUAAGGUUGUAGCUCACUGAAAUGAGUUGUAUCCUGUUGUAGCUCACUGAAAUGAGCUCUAUAAGGUUGUAGCUCACUGAAAUGAGUUGUUUCCUGUUGUAGCUCACUGAAAUGAGUUGUUUCCUGUUGUAGCUCACUGAAAUGAGCUGUAUAAGGUUGUAGCUCACUGAAAUGAGUUGUAUCCUGUUGUAGCUCACUGGAAUGAGUUGUUUCCUGUUGUAGCUCACUGAAAUGAGUUGUUUCCUGUUGUAGCUCACUGAAAUGAGUUGUUUCCUGUUGUAGCUCACUGAAAUGAGCUCUAUAAGGUUGUAGCUCACUGAAAUGAGUUGUUUCCUGUUGUAGCUCACUGAAAUGAGUUGUUUCCUGUUGUAGCUCACUGAAAUGAGUUGUUUCCUGUUGUAGCUCACUGAAAUGAGCUGUAUAAGGUUGUAGCUCACUGAAAUGAGUUGUUUCCUGUUGUAGCUCACUGAAAUG